UUUAGUUGACGGACUUAUAGCAGGUCGUUCCAGUGCCUCGAAACGUCAAAGAAAAGUGAUUGCAAUCAGCUAUUAAACAGAAAAGGAGAAAAAUAAUAUAUAUUUUUUGAAAAUACACAUAUAGUAAGCUAUGUGGUUUGAGGAGUAUUGUGUUUCCAAAAUGUUUAGAAGGUGUAGCUUGAUUAUUUAUUUUUACUAGUCAGAUCAAGGCUACGAUGUCAGGGAAGCCGGGAAAUUCGACAGGAUCUGAUCGUUUUGAAUACUUACAAUCACUAGUUACCGAAUUUCAGGACACAGACAGUGAAGAGGCCAAAGAGCAAGUACUGGCGAAUUUGGCAAAUUUUGCAUAUGACCCCAGAAACAUGGUGGACCUACGAACGCUUCAGGUGAUGGACCUCUUUUUGGACAUGCUCACAGAAGAUAAUGAGAACUUUGUUGAAUUUGGGAUGGGAGGGCUGUGUAACAUGAGUAUGGACCCUGAGUGCCGAGACCAGAUCCUGCAGAGUGAUGGCAUCGCCUUGGUAACCAGCUGCCUGUCAAGCCGGCGAGAGGAGACGGUACUGUCGGCCAUCUCCACACUCAUGAAUCUCACCACGGCGGCCUCCCGCUCUCUCACCACAGACACCACGGUGGUGCAGUGCAUGCUGCGCUUUUCCCUCUCUCAGAACCCACGCUUGCGCAACCUGGCCUCUGUGUUUGUUCAGGACUACUGCACGAGGCAGCAGGUGGCCAGGGCAGAGGAGCGAUUGCAGGGCCACCAUCAGACCACUCUGGGGAUCCCUCUGCCCAAGGAUUAGUAUGGACAUAGAGGAACGCGGUUGCCUCUGGUCCUUUUAGACUGGAUAUCUGAUGGACUGAUUAAUCUAUACUCUGAGACAGUGACUGGACUCAGGCAGGAUCACACUGCCUGGGACUGCACAAGGAUGGUUUGACAGAAAACAGUCUGACAGAUUUUAUUGUAUUGGCUGAACAUGUUGUCGUUGGUAGUUACUGUCCUUGAACAAGGUCUACAUUGCUACAACAUGUCACUGCCAUAUGAGGGAGAUGAUGCCCCUUUUUUGGUCAGCAAGGACUGGUUGAUGGAUGACUGCUGUGUAUAAUGCCUGCUAUGCAUUUGGCUACUAUCAAAUCUAGUUUUAAAGUGCAUUCCUUGCUAACACGUGAGGCAGCACAUGAAGACCAGAGACUCCUCAGUUCUGUUGAAUGUGUCUCAGGUCCAGACCUCAAAGCAGCCUGCUCCUGCUAAGCAUCAUGUGCAGAGCACAUGUCCUGGGUGGACCUGAAAGGAAAUUCUACACAGCUGGGAGUCUUCAUGCAUGUGUGCGUUUGUAGCGUUCCAAAGGUUUACUGGACGUCCACCUGCCACUGAGAUCAAUAGGAAAAUGAACUGUAAUCGUAAAUAUGACUUUACGUCCGGUAGAAGAAGCUGACCCCCCAGAUUUUAAUUGUAUAAUUCGCACCCUGUUUCUAACCAAACUAAAGAGAAUCUUCCUGAGAUUAACAAGCGUUUGGCUGAGAGGAGAGACAAUAUUUAUGAAGUGAAAUAGAAAUUAGACUCGAUGGAACACAUGCUUACCCACUGAGCCACAGAGGUUUCCUGCAAAGUUCCUUUCUACAAAACAGUGUAAUUGCCCUUAUGACACUACUAAAUGCCAAAGGACAACAUAUGUUUUGUUUCUGCUAAUGCCAAGUUAUAAAACAGAAUACUCUGCCUUCUAAUCAUACUUAUAAAACAAGUGAAAGUUUGCUGAAGUAUUUUUAAGUACUCGUUCACAAAAUACUGUGACAAUAAGUAGAACUUUCUUGAAUAUACUUAUUUAUUUUUGAAACACGGAUAAAUACUAAACAGAAAUGUGAAGCUUAUCCUCUAUUAGGGGUGGGAAUCUUUUGGUACUUCACGAUUCUUGGGGUCACGAUUUGAUAAAAAAUUGAUCGAAUUUGAUUUUGAAUCAAAUCGCGAUUCAAUAUAUGCUUACAUAAUAAAUAAAAAAAUGUGAAUCGAUGUGAAUCGCAAGAAGACUGAAUCGCGAUUCAUAUGUGAAUCAAUUUCCCCCCCCAAUCCUAGUACUUAGUGUUGAAUGACAUUUAAUUAGGUUGCUAAUGUGAUUGCUUUAUCUGUAAAUUAAAUUUAUGUUUUUUUCAAUGACUGAAUUAAUUGAAAUAA